CCAUGCGAGUCGAGAGGGUUCGGCCCUCGGCGAACUGCUCAGUAACACGNUGGNANAAUCUAACCUUAGGUGGAGCAUAACCUCGGGAAACUGAGAAUAAUACUCCAUAGAUCUUUGAGGCUGGAAUGCGCUUAGAUUGAAAGCUUCGGCGCCUAAGGAUGAGUCUGCGGACUAUCAGGUAGUAGUCAGGGUAAAGACCUGACUAGCCUACGACGGAUACGGGUUGUGAGAGCAAUAACCCGGAGAUGAUAUCUGAGACACGAUAUCAGGCCCUACGGGGCGCAGCAGGCGCGAAAACUUCACAAUGCGCGAAAGCGCGAUGAGGGGAUCCCAAGUGCUUGCACGUAAGUGUAAGCUGUUUUUCUGUCUAAAAAGCAGAGAGAGUAAGGGCUGGGUAAGACGGGUGCCAGCCGCCGCGGUAAUACCUGCAGCUCAAGUGGUGGCCGCUAUUAUUGGGCCUAAAACGUCCGUAGCCGGCUGAGUAAAUGCCUGGGUAAAUCGUGUGGCUUAACCAUACGAAUUCCGGGUAGACUGCUCAGCUUGGGACCGGAAGAAGUUAGAGGUACUCCUGGGGUAGGGGUGAAAUCCUGUAAUCCUGGGGGGACCACCAGUGGCGAAGGCGUCUAACUAGGACGGGUCUGACGGUGAGGGACGAAGCCCUGGGGCGCAAACCGGAUUANAUACCCGGGUAGUCCAGGGUGUAAACGCUGCUUGCUUGAUGUUAGGCUGG
rnacentral:rRNA from 1 species